rnacentral:lncRNA from 1 species
CAAGUGUAUUUUAACAUAACUAAAUGUUUAAACUUUAGAUCUUUAUUUUAAACUUUACCAUUAUUUUAAGAAGUUUUUGCUAGGGUAAAUGUUUUCCAUAAGUUUUUUUUUUUCUUUUAUAUAUCGGAUAAAGGGAUUACAUUUGUUCUCUGAGUUUUUAUAGAAGCCCCAUCGCUAUCACCAUCACUAUUUUGAUUUUUCCAAGAUGGCCGUUUUUGUUUCGCGAACGUUCUGCGAGGAGAGUUCGGCGACUUGCGUGACUUACGAACAGAGCUGCCUAAUUGUGCCGCUUGUGCCUGGACAAUGGAAGAUGAUGCAAAGGCCAAAAGAAAGCUACUCUGCAUCUGCACUCUGAAUAAUGUGAUGUCUCGGUAGCUACACAUGCUUUGUUAAAGGGAAGUUUAUUUCGCCACUUGCUAGGCAUCAUUGAGGUGAUUUGGCUGUGUGCCUUUAUUUUAUGCUAAUAGAAUGUACUGCACUUACAACUGCUUGUUGUAGGUGCAGCCUACAACAAUCAGUUGCAAAGGAGCACCGUUUAGUGAAUCCAUUCGAUUAACAUAAGCAAGUCUGGAAGAUGCUAAAGACUAGAGCAUGAUGCACUGAGGCAUGUUGACCUAUGCUUGAGCACCCACUCUCCUCUCUUGGGCUGUAAACCAGGCAAAAUGUAAAAUUAUUCUUGCGAAAACAGCAGGGAUGUGGCAUGCAUAAAAACUUGUCGAUCAUGCUCUGAAUAUGCUGGCCGCCCAAGCGAGCGACUCACUGACUGACUGGCUCGGCUUUGCCAUCAGCCAAGGCAGGACAAGCAAAUGCUAGAGCAAGCAGUCAAGUUCGGUGAAUUUUGUUUUUCUAAAAACAAAUUUGCUAAAAGGAGAUUCGUUGCCAUUUCCUCUAAACGGAGUGUCUUCUUGAAAGAAUUCAAUAAAAAAGGGGGUUUCAAAACUUGUGCUUGGAAAAAUAGAUGCCUCUGCUCGGGCCGUACACAUCAACUUUCUUAGAUCUGUCGGUUGACAAGCUCCAUAAAAGAGCAGCAGUAAAAAAAAAAAAAAAAAAUUGAGACGUUUACAAUUCUUUGUAACAUGAAAUUAGAGCGCAACGCUUGAGUAGGAGGAGGGGAGGUUAUGCCUCUCCUAUCCCUCCAUACCCUCUCCUUCCCCUCCCAUUUAGCAGGCAAUUUUCGCUAAAUUUCCUGCUAAAUUUAGCAAGAAUUUCCCCGCUAAAUUUAGCGGUUUAAGUUUCCUCUCUAAAUCUUGUGGGGAAAUUGAUGUCACAGAACCUCAACACCAAUUCAGUUUCCCCGCUAUAUUUAGCGGGGAAACUGAAUUGGUGUUGAGGAAACAACCCUGCUAAAUGGCACAUGACUUCAUGCCACGUCACUCACAAACAAAUUCAGUUCCUCAGCUAGAUUUAGCAGAAAAAUUGACAUUGCGUGACCUCAACACAAAUUCAAUUUCUCACUAAAUUCAGCAAGGUGAUCAUGCAGACGGCGACGCAAUGAAGCGUGGAAAUGGGCACCUAAGAGCUGCACUCUAAACCAGUUUUUCUCUGUUGCCGGUGCACAAGCAGGUAAUGUGCAUCCAACGUUCCACUGGAUCUGUCCAAAGGGCAGGCUGAUACUGCGGCAGACGCCACUGAGCGGACACACUGCAAAAAGGCGUCGGGCGUUUUCCGAAGUUUGUCAACUGACCUAGAUCUGAGAACGUUGGUACAUGUAUUGCUACCGUUGCCAAGCAGGACUGGAGAUUGUUAGAGUGUGAACAAUGUUCACACUUUGGUCAAUGCAAGCACAUCUUUUUUUUUUUAGUAAUAUUGACUAACAAGAUUGCAGCAAUCAAACAAGUUAACACCGAAAUGUUAAAAGCAAUAAAGAAAUUAAAGCCCG